AGCGAACGUUUGCGGCGGGCCUAACACAUGCAAGUCGAACGCACUAGCAAUAGUGAGUGGCGCACGGGUGCGUAACACGUGGGUAAUCAACCCUUCAGCUUGGGAUAACGACUUGAAAGGGUCGCUAAUACCGGAUACGGCGAGAGAGGCUUCGGCAUUUCUCGAGAAAGCCUCGCAAGGGGCACUGAAGGACGAGCCUGCGGCCCAUCAGCUAGUUGGUGAGGUAAGAGCUCACCAAGGCGAAGACGGGUAGCUGGUCUGAGAGGAUGAUCAGCCACACUGGAACUGAGACACGGUCCAGACUCCUACGGGAGGCAGCAGUGGGGAAUAUUGCGCAAUGGGCGAAAGCCUGACGCAGCCACGCCGCGUGAGCGAUGAAGGCCUUCGGGUCGGUAAACCUCUUUCAAUAGGACGAAGACGCAAGUGACGGUACCUAUAGAAGAAGCACCGGCCAACUAACGUGCCAGCAGCCG
rnacentral:rRNA from 1 species